UGCAAGUCGAACGAUGAAGACCGUGCUUGCACGGUUGGAUUAGUGGCGAACGGGUGAGUAUCACGUGAGUAACCUUCCCUUAACUCUGGGAUAAGCCCGGGAAACUGGGUCUAAUACCGGAUACGACCAGUCCUCGCAUGGGGUGCUGGUGGAAAGAUUUAUCGGUUUUGGAUGGACUCGCGGCCUAUCAGCUUGUUGGUGAGGUAAUAGCUCACCAAGGCGAUGACGGGUAGCCGGCCUGAGAGGGUGACCGGCCACACUGGGACUGAGACACGGCCCAGACUCCUACGGGAGGCAGCAGUGGGGAAUAUUGCACAAUGGGCGAAAGCCUGAUGCAGCGACGCCGCGUGCGGGAUGACGGCCUUCGGGUUGUAAACCGCUUUCAGCAGGGAAGAAGCGAAAGUGACGGUACCUGCAGAAGAAGCGCCGGCUAACUACGUGCCAGCAGCCGCGGUAAUACGUAGGGCGCGAGCGUUAUCCGGAAUUAUUGGGCGUAAAGAGCUCGUAGGCGGUUUGUCACGUCUGCUGUGAAAGCCCGAGGCUCAACCUCGGGUGUGCAGUGGGUACGGGCAGACUAGAGUGCAGUAGGGGAGACUGGAAUUCCUGGUGUAGCGGUGAAAUGCGCAGAUAUCAGAGGAACACCGAUGGCGAAGGCAGGUCUCUGGGCUGUUACUGACGCUG
rnacentral:rRNA from 1 species